rnacentral:rRNA from 1 species
GAUGAACGCUGGCGGCGUGCCUAAUACAUGCCAGUCGAGCGAACGGACGAGAAGCUUGCUUCUCUGAUGUUAGCGGCGGACGGGUGAGUAACACGUGGAUAACCUACCUAUAAGACUGGGAUAACUUCGGGAAACCGGAGCUAAUACCGGAUAAUAUUUUGAACCGCAUGGUUCAAAAGUGAAAGACGGUCUUGCUGUCACUUAUAGAUGGAUCCGCGCUGCAUUAGCUAGUUGGUAAGGUAACGGCUUACCAAGGCAACGAUGCAUAGCCGACCUGAGAGGGUGAUCGGCCACACUGGAACUGAGACACGGUCCAGACUCCUACGGGAGGCAGCAGUAGGGAAUCUUCCGCAAUGGGCGAAAGCCUGACGGAGCAACGCCGCGUGAGUGAUGAAGGUCUUCGGAUCGUAAAACUCUGUUAUUAGGGAAGAACAUAUGUGUAAGUAACUGUGCACAUCUUGACGGUACCUAAUCAGAAAGCCACGGCUAACCACGUG